rnacentral:rRNA from 1 species
AUGAACGCUAGCUACAGGCUUAACACAUGCAAGUCGAGGGCAGCAUGGUCUUAGCUUGCUAAGACUGAUGGCGACCGGCGCGACGGGUGAGUAACGCGUAUCCAACCUCGGCCCUUAGUAGGGAACAGCCCGGCGAAAGUCGGAUUAAUGCCCUAUGUUUUCCAAUGAUGGCAUCUGACUUGGAACAAAGAUUCAUCGCUAAGGGAGUGGGGAUGCGUCUGAUUAGCUUGUCGGCGGGGUAACGGCCCACCGAGGCGACGAUCAGUAGGGGUUCUGAGAGGAAGGUCCCCCACAUUGGUACUGAGACACGGACCAAACUCCUACGGGAGGCAGCAGUGAGGAAUAUUGGUCAAUGGGCGUAAGCCUGAACCAGCCAAGUAGCGUGCAGGAAGACUCGCCCUAUGGGUUGUAAACUGCUUUUGUGCGGGAAUAACGUUGUGCUCGUGAGCGCAAGUGCAUGUACCGUACGAAUAAGGAUCGGCUAACUCCGUGCCAGCCGCAGC